UACGAAGGGGGCUAGCGUUGUUCGGAAUCACUGGGCGUAAAGCGCACGUAGGCGGAUUGUUAAGUCAGGGGUGAAAUGCCAAGGCUCAACCUUGGAACUGCCUUUGAUACUGGCAAUCUCGAGUCCGGGAGAGGUGAGUGGAACUGCGAGUGUAGAGGUGAAAUUCGUAGAUAUUCGCAAGAACACCAGUGGCGAAGGCGGCUCACUGGCCCGGUACUGACGCUGAGACGGCGAAAGCGUGGGGAGCAAACAGG
rnacentral:rRNA from 1 species